rnacentral:rRNA from 1 species
ACAACAGUUGGAAACGACUGCUAAUACCGCAUACGAUCUAAUCUCGGCAUCGAGGAUAGAUGAAAGGUGGCCUCUACAUGUAAGCUAUCACUGAAGGAGGGGAUUGCGUCUGAUUAGCUAGUUGGAGGGGUAACGGCCCACCAAGGCGAUGAUCAGUAGCCGGUCUGAGAGGAUGAACGGCCACAUUGGGACUGAGACACGGCCCAGACUCCUACGGGAGGCAGCAUG